AUACGUAGGUGGCAAGCGUUAUCCGGAAUUAUUGGGUGUAAAGGGUGCGUAGGCGGGGUGUCAAGUCAGAUGUGAAAUCUCAAUGCUUAACGUUGAGACUGCAUUUGAAACUGGCGCUCUUGAGUGAAGUAGAGGUAAGCGGAAUUCCCAGUGUAGCGGUGAAAUGCGUAGAUAUUAGGAGGAACACCAGUGGCGAAGGCGGCCUGCUGGACCAAGACUGACGCUGAGGCUCGAAAGCGUGGGGAGC
rnacentral:rRNA from 1 species